rnacentral:rRNA from 1 species
GACGAACGCUGGCGGCGUGCUUAACACAUGCAAGUCGAACGGUAAGGCCCUUCGGGGUACACGAGUGGCGAACGGGUGAGUAACACGUGGGUGAUCUGCCCUGCACUUCGGGAUAAGCCUGGGAAACUGGGUCUAAUACCGGAUAGGACCACUGCCUGCAUGGGUGGUGGUGGAAAGCUUUUGCGGUGUGGGAUGGGCCCGCGGCCUAUCAGCUUGUUGGUGGGGUGAUGGCCUACCAAGGCGACGACGGGCAGCCGGCCGGAGAGGGUGACCGGCCACACUGGGACUGAGAUACGGCCCAGACUCCUACGGGAGGCAGCAGUGGGGAAUAUUGCACAAUGGGCGCAAGCCUGAUGCAGCGACGCCGCGUGAGGGAUGACGGCCUUCGGGUUGUAAACCUCUUUCAGUAGGGACGAAGCGCAAGUGACGGUACCUACAGAAGAAGGACCGGCCAACUACGUGCCAGCAGCCGCGGUAA